rnacentral:rRNA from 1 species
UAAUACGGAGGAUCCAAGCGUUAUCCGGAAUCAUUGGGUUUAAAGGGUCCGUAGGUGGAUAAUUAAGUCAGAGGUGAAAGUUUGCGGCUCAACCGUAAAAUUGCCUUUGAUACUGGUUAUCUUGAAUCAUUGUGAAGUGGUUAGAAUAUGUAGUGUAGCGGUGAAAUGCAUAGAUAUUACAUAGAAUACCAAUUGCGAAGGCAGAUCACUAACAAUGUAUUGACACUGAUGGACGAAAGCGUGGGGAGCGAACGGGAUUAGAUACCCCGGUAGUCCACGCCGUAAACGAUGGUCACUAGCUGUUCGGACUUCGGUCUGAGUGGCUAAGCGAAAGUGAUAAGUGACCCACCUGGGGAGUACGCUCGCAAGAAUG